rnacentral:lncRNA from 1 species
UUCCACGUUCAACCCAAGAGCAGCUUGAAAGAAAGCUAUAAAUGCGCCAUUUCAUUUGAAAGGACGGACUGAAGGAACUCAACCAGAAUAGCUUGUAGUGGUCAACCCUUGGGUAGCUAACUAUGCUAUAGCUAGAGCAUUUUGGAAUCCGCGUCGGACCGGCCUAUCGAAGAAAGAGAUCAUUGAGCCUAUUUAGCCGUACCGUAGGGCUGGGAAUCGCAAGAAUUGAGAAGUCCAUAAGCAAACUACUACGCAAACGUA